AUUGGGUUUCUGUCGUACGUCGUCGCGCGCGAUUUUGCAUAAAAGCCCCUUGGUUUAUAAAAAUUAACCCGCAGUCCUCGGCAUAAGUCAGCCCGAACCGGUAUGGAGGAGAGAAAAGAAAAAAAAUAGCCCAGCCUCCUCGAUCCCAUCUCGAGCCUAGCCUGCUGCCACCUCCUGCCCCACGCCGCCGCCGCGCGUCGGCCCGCCCCGCCCCGCGCCGCCGCGGCCACCUCCAGCCAGCCCCGUGGCGGGCUCUCCCUCACCUCUCUAUCCGAGCCGCCAGGAGGCGACCGACCCCGGCGAUGCUCGAUCCGGUGCCGCGACGCCCGCUGGUCGGCGCCGGUGAGCACAGCACCAGGAACCACCGUUAAGCCUCAGAUCCCCCUCUCCUCCAUGCUCCCAAGCUCUCACUAUGCAGCGGACGGAGCUUGCAGGGCCCGGAUCCGUACGUGGCGAUUUUUGGGAGGGGGAGGGGGAUCGCCGGUGACGCGGAGGAAGGCCGGAGCGCGCUUCCCGCUCGGCUCCAUGGCGGCUCCUGGACAGAAAUCCAUGGCGGCUCCUGGGCAGAAAGGAGAUAGGGAGGUGAGGGAGAAAGGGACAGUGAUGAGCUCCAGACAGAAAAGAAUCUCAUACUGCAAAAGAUUGAUGGUCAGAUCAAGUGUAUUAAUGAAAUGUGCAACAUGAUGUCUCUUGAUCUUAAGAAGACAUUAUAUGAAGUUCAUCCCAGCUUUGUUGAAUUGGAAAGAAUCAAAUCCAUGAGUGUAAGUGAUAGCACACUUGAUAGGCUUGCAGGAAAAGUUCAUGCACUAAAUCAAGAAAAGAAACAGAGGCUCCGGAAGCUACAUGAUCUUGGAGGCACACUCAUUGAGUUAUGGAGUCUAACGGACACACCAUUAGAUGAACAGAAAUGCUUUGAUCAUGUUACUUCUUUGAUUUCAGUCUCACAAAAUACAGUGAUGCCUCAAGGAUGCCUUUCACAUGACCUUAUUAAGAAGGUAGAGGUUGAGGUCAAGAGACUGAAGCAUUCGAAAGUAGCAAAAUGAAAGAGCUUGUCUUAAAGAAAAUGAUUGACCUUGAAGAAAUCUACAGAAGUGUUCACAUGUAUAUUGACAGCGAUCAUGAGUAGCAGAUUCUCACUGAACUUAUUGAUUCUGGUUCACUUCUUUCCCAUGAUUUUCAUCCUGAAGAUAGAUAACUGAAGUUAUUAUAUACAGUUUUGUUUCCAUUAAGAACUACACGAUGCAUGAUUUGACUGGUGCUCCUUGGUUAUAUAACGUUGUUGUUUCUGUCUCAUCUUAAAAUUCUGUGAAUUUCUUAGUCAAAUGCAAUGGUAGGUUCUGCAACUGUCUUUCAACUUUGUGCCUUCUAAGUAUCAGCUUGACUAUUUAGGCAGAUCAAUUUGGAUAAAAAAUUGAAUAAGCUCUUAUGGAAACUAAAAGGGAAAAAAUAUUGCAAGUCAUUGCGGCUCUCCUUCAGAGGACGAUUGCGCAUUCAUGCUCUAGGAUUUUUUUUACUGAGCUCAAGGUUGUGAACUAUUUAUUUCCAUUUCUUUGGUAGUGAUAUUUGGUUAAACUGGAGCCUAGCUAUAGAACAUCAGCGGUGUAAAGUAUAUGUAUUGCUGCUCAGAGGUUCUAUAGAUACAUCUUUACUGAUUUUUCAUCUUUAUCAUGUAUGCUUCAAUUCUUGCAUGCCAAAUAAACAUAAGUUCAUGUUUUAUUGUUUAGUUGUCUCAUGUUCGCUCUUCAUUAUUCUAUAUCAAAGUGAUGUCGUUCAAUGCGUUUGUCCCUUGCUGAUGUAGAAAUUGAUUUCCAUGAAGCAUGCCCUCAAGGUGCAACAAUAUCGUUCUUCCUGGUGUUGCAUUAAGUAUACCUCUUAUUUGUUAAAAAAUCCUUUGGAUUUGGGAUUAGUAUAUUAGGUAGACAUCUUUUGGUUAACAACAGAUUCGAGCGCAGGGUAGAAUUCUUGGUUGAUUCUAGAAUUUCGUUGUAGAUUAGCUGGCAGAUUAGAACGUCUUUGGCACUGGACCCAGCAGACGCGUGUGCGUGUGCAGAUCUCACAUGCAUCUACUGCACCACUUGUUGUUGGAUGGCAGUGUGGUGUGCAAGCGUGUGGAAGGCCUAUUCGCCGCCAUGGGGGCGCAACUCAGCUCUGAGGAGAACAGUUCCAAGGCCCAACUAACAGGCUACCACAAUUCCCUUAGACCACUCACGGACUGUAAUUGAAUUGCUUUAUCGAUCAAUCUAUCAAUUAAUCAUAGGCUACAAUUAACCAGUGUAGUUUGGAUGUGCAGCACUAGGGACCAUUUGAUUCAAUUUGUGCUAUAGUAAUACUAACCUAAUACAAUUAUCAGAUCCUUUUGUCUUGUCAAGCAGAUGGUUAAUUACUGGACAAGUAGAGCAUGGCAUUUUCUGUGUGCAAUCCACACUGACAAGCUUGCAGAGGCUACUUCAAGUCAAGCGGCUUUAGAAUUUCUUUACUAUGUGUACUCAUGUAGUAUUUAGGUUAGAAUAGAAUCAGAUUUGAUUGGUGCCCUCAGUUCAUAACAGACAUUGACAGGUUACUUCUUUCUGGCUUUAACUUUGAAGCCUAAAUAAGCACCUUUUGCUACUUAAUUGUGCUUGCCGUCAUUUGUGAUUCUCAGUUCAUGAAUAAUAUAUGUUGAUAAGACAUUAAUUUAGAACU